AUUAUAAUUUAAAGUCUGACCUGCCCACUGAGUAUUUAAAGGGCCGCGGUAUUUUGACUGUGCGAAGGUAGCAUAAUAAUUAGUUUUUUAAUUAAAAGCUGGUAUGAACGGUUGAACGAGGGAAUAACUGUCUCUAUUUAAUUUUAUUAGAACUUUAUUUUUAAGUUAAAAAGCUUAAAUUUAUUUAAAAGACGAGAAGACCCUAUAGAGUUUUAUAUUUAUUUUUUUUUAAAAUUUAAAGAAUUUUUUUUUUUAUUAAAUUAAGGAUAUUUUAUUGGGGUGAUAGAAAAAUUUAAUUAACUUUUUUUUUAUUUAAACAUUUAUUUAUGAAUUAUUGAUCCAUAUUUUAUGAUUAUUAGAUUAAAUUACCUUAGGGAUAACAGCGUAAUUUCUUUAAAGAGUUCAAAUCGAAAAAGAAGUUUGCGACCUCGAUGUUGGAUUAAAAUUUAUUUUUGGUGUAGGAGCUAAAAAAAUAGGUCUGUUCGACCUUUAAAAUUUUACAUGAUCUGAGUUUAAACCGGCGUGAGCCAGGUUGGUUUCUAUCUUUAAAACAAUUGAAUAUUUUAGUACGAAAGGACCAAGUAUUUAUAUAAUUUAU
rnacentral:rRNA from 1 species